UACUCCAGAGGGCAAGUUGCUAUGAGGACAAAUAAAAUUGUGUCAAAUAUAUAAAAGCCUGGGGGAUGUGUAGGUCCCUAGUAAGUGCUCAGUCAAUUACAGUUCAUCUUUCUCCAGUGUUGUUCAGCAGGCACCGAUGUAGGGCACUUGUCUGGGUUUGUCUUUCACGAGAGUGCAGUGUGCAGCGUCCUCUCUAAAUCAGAACUUUGGGCUCCACAGCAUUUGUUUCAUGGUAAGCAGCUAGAUGAUUUUAAACUUCUAUCUUCCCCAAGAACACUCGACAAAAUUGGCAGCCUGUACUAUGCAAAAAUUCACCCAGAAAUGGAAGAGAGGGACAUUUGCACAAGCUGGGUUGUGUCUACAGAAUUAGAAGGCACAGUUGGACUAAUUUUAGUGUCUAAAAAUUGGAGGAAACAUUGGAAUUAGGCUUCGUGGGAAGACAAGUCCUUGAAAGUGGCAAAAGGAACCACCGGGAUUGGCUGAAUCGGGGACCAUGCCCACAAGGUUUGGGCGCUGUCCCAGUGUGCGCACAGACCCUAACCGGCCGGAAGUUAAAAGGUGGGGGAGGGAAAAGGGUUAAGCGCCCUUUAAGGCUUCAGGUUAGAAAUGACUGCGGAGACCUCCUUCGCAGUGCCCCUUCAUUGUCUUGGUUUCCCAGCUAUCUGCUUUCCUUUGUCUUGCCAUAGAUAAUUUUGAUCCCGUGACCGGGCGGUCGCCUGUUGGGGCUCUCUGGCAUUUUGUCCUUUGGGAUUUCUGAGAGGGGCAGGCCCCUGUGAUUGGCCUCACGUGGGCAAACCGCACACAACUCGCUUUGUAUCUGAGGAGCGGAGCGGGGGCCUGGCUCCUUUUCGUCGCAGCCAAUCAGGCCGGGGCUGAGAAUUUAUGAGAUGAAGGCGACCACUUUGAAGAAAGGCGCCCUUGUCUGCGGCUUCCCCAUUGCUCGGUGGUGCGCGUGGGGCGGUGGGGAGGGGUGGGCUCAGCCAGAGGGCCGGCGCCCCGGGGAUGGACGGGCAAAGAAAAGAAUCUGAGAAACCAGGGUCAAAAGUCUUUCUGUGCACAGGAAAGAAAACUGAGCAGGCUGCCUUCCUUCUUGCAGGUGUGUUCUCACAAUGGGGAGCCACGGCCCUCCCCAAGGACCAGCGAGCAAUGGGCGCAUCUCAUUCGCUGCCUGCAUUUGCCCCCGCCCAUCCAAGAGAGCAGAAUCAGAGAGGAGAUGAGACGAGAGACGGCUUCCGAGGCUGAUAGAGAUGGAUUUUGCCGGGAGAGUGCCAACGUCGCUCCUCCCGCCUCCCGUCGGCCCUCUGCCAAAGUCUUCCCAUCGGACAUCUGGCCCCAGCAGGGAGAAACAGGGACCAAGGCACUUAUUUUGGCUUUGACGUCAGCGAAGGAAGGCUGAGUAAAUUCAUCAUUAGUGCAAAUUAAAAUCCACCAAACCGUAUCUCUCUUCGUUACAUCGCCUGCAUUUCUAGAGCUGACAGAGGUCUCGCUUUCCUUUUGUUUUUGUUUUGCUCUGGAUUAAGGUGUGAUUUUUUUUUAAAAACAGUUAAUUGGAAGAUAAUAAUGCCAGCGAGCUUAUUGUUAAUUAUUUGUAUCUGUACUUAAUACUGAGAAGUGUGCUCUGUUCUCACGAGCUAAUAUUUGGCUUGUCAGAUGUUGUUAGUCGUUGUAAUUAAUGGAGCCCAUAUACAUUUACUGGAGCUGUGGGUAGAGUUAUAGGAACAGCGGGAGAUAUGAAAUUUCUCCACCACCCCGCCCUUAUCCCUAGAAAGAGAACUUUGGGGCGUCGAGUCCUUCUUGUGACAUUCAUUGGUUAUCCGUCUGUAAGACCCUCCAUAUCCUCUCUCUCGGCUCCCUGUUAUUUUCCUUUGUACCAUCAGGGCCAGCUGCAUUGCUUCUGGGGCCCAGUGAAAAACAAAAACAUGGAGGCCGGCCCGUGGCUGAGUGGCUAAGCUCGCGCGCACGCGCACUCUGCUGCAGGCAGCCCAGUGUUUCCUCUGUUCAAAUCCUGGGCGCGGACAUGGCACCACUCAUCCAGCCACGCUGAGGCGGCGUCCCUCAUGCCACAGCUAGAAAGACCCACAACUAAGACUAUACAACUGUGUACCAGGGGGGCUUUGGGGAGAAAAAGGAAAAAAAUAAAAUCUUCAAAAUAAAAUAAAAUAAAACA
rnacentral:lncRNA from 1 species